UACGAAGGGGGCUAGCGUUGCUCGGAAUCACUGGGCGUAAAGGGUGCGUAGGCGGGUCUUUAAGUCAGGGGUGAAAUCCUGGAGCUCAACUCCAGAACUGCCUUUGAUACUGAAGAUCUUGAGUUCAGGAGAGGUGAGUGGAACUGCGAGUGUAGAGGUGAAAUUCGUAGAUAUUCGCAAGAACACCAGUGGCGAAGGCG
rnacentral:rRNA from 1 species